rnacentral:rRNA from 1 species
AUUGAACGCUGGCGGAAUGCUUUACACAUGCAAGUCGAGCGGCAGCACGGGGGCAACCCUGGUGGUGAGCGGCGAACGGGUGAGUAACACAUCGGAACAUGCCCAGUCGUGGGGGAUAACACUUCGAAAGAAGUGCUAAUACCGCAUACGUCCUGAGGGAGAAAGCGGGGGAUCGCAAGACCUCGCGCGAUUGGAGUGGCCGAUGUCAGAUUAGCUAGUUGGUGGGGUAAAGGCCUACCAAGGCAACGAUCUGUAGCUGGUCUGAGAGGAUGAUCAGCCACACUGGGACUGAGACACGGCCCAGACUCCUACGGGAGGCAGCAGUGGGGAAUUUUGGACAAUGGGGGCAACCCUGAUCCAGCCAUUCCGCGUGAGUGAAGAAGGCCUUCGGGUUGUAAAGCUCUUUCGGCAGGAACGAAACGGUGAGCUCUAACAUAGCUUGCUAAUGACGGUACCUGAAGAAGAAGCACCGGCUAACUACGU